rnacentral:rRNA from 1 species
CCUACGGGUGGCUGCAGUGGGGAAUAUUGGACAAUGGGGGCAACCCUGAUCCAGCCAUGCCGCGUGUGUGAAGAAGGUCCUCGGGUUGUAAAGCACUUUCAGUGAGGAAGAACGCCUGGUGGUUAAUACCCAUCAGGAAAGACAUCACUCACAGAAGAAGCACCGGCUAACUCCGUGCCAGCAGCCGCGGUAAUACGGAGGGUGCGAGCGUUAAUCGGAAUUACUGGGCGUAAAGCGCGCGUAGGUGGCUUGAUAAGCCGGUUGUGAAAGCCCCGGGCUCAACCUGGGAACGGCAUCCGGAACUGUCAAGCUAGAGUGCAGGAGAGGAAGGUAGAAUUCCCGGUGUAGCGGUGAAAUGCGUAGAGAUCGGGAGGAAUACCAGUGGCGAAGGCGGCCUUCUGGACUGACACUGACACUGAGGUGCGAAAGCGUGGGUAGCAAACAGGAUUAGAUACCCGUGUAGUC